rnacentral:lncRNA from 12 species
CAGAAGUACUACAGUUGUGCCUGAGCACUCCUUGGGAUAUGGAAAAGGACUUUCAGAUCCCUUCAGAUCAGACUAUCCCAGUGGCCUUCCUCUUGAAGGAGUGGAGAGCACAAGGAAUCUUCUCCUCUGCACCUAGAAUGAAGAGUGAGCACAUGCCUUCUGACUGGCAGCACCAGUGCUUUCCUGGCUGAUGAUGCAGGAACACUGAGCUUGCUUGAAGGCAAUCCAGUAAUUUCCCUGGAACAACAUACCUUCAGGAGUGGAAGAUCUGCAA